rnacentral:rRNA from 1 species
CCUACGGGAGGCAGCAGUGGGGGAUAUUGCACAAUGGGGGAAACCCUGAUGCAGCGACGCCGCGUGUGGGAAGACGGUCCUCUGGAUUGUAAACCACUGUCCCCAGGGACGAAGAUGACGGUACCUGGGGAGGAAGCUCCGGCUAACUACGUGCCAGCAGCCGCGGUAAUACGUAGGGAGCGAGCGUUGUCCGGAAUUACUGGGUGUAACGGGAGCGUAGGCGGGACUGCAAGUUGGGUGUCAAAUCUACCGGCUCAACCGGUAGCCGCACUCAAAACUGCAGUUCUUGAGUGAAGUAGAGGCAGGCGGAAUUCCUAGUGUAGCGGUGAAAUGCGUAGAUAUUAGGAGGAACACCAGUGGCGAAGGCGGCCUGCUGGGCUUUUACUGACGCUGAGGCUCGAAAGUGUGGGGAGCAAACAGGAGUAGAUACCCGAGUAGUC